AUCUCACACGGAAAUNUGGGUGGACGAUGU
rnacentral:piRNA from 1 species